CUCAGUGGGUUUUGCAAUAAACAGGGGAACAAGGGCCGAUUUCCGGUCAUCCAUCCAGGAACGCAAGAUCAACAAAUCGGGAACCAUUUCGAGGGAGCUUCUUUACCUUUGAAAUUUCGCGACUGAACAUGGCGAUCGUGAACACUCGUCCCGCGGUUCAAGUGAGUUUUUGCCAGCCUCAAUUUUCGAACGACUCUCGACUUUUUAUUCGACUUGCCAUCGCCGUAAUUCAAUUUGACGUUCGAUUAAAAAUAAAUCAAUGGGAAAGAGAUAGUAGAUAUGUCAACGAGAUUGAACAAAAAAAAAAACAGAGUGAAUAGGGGCCGUGAAUCCGAUUAACUUUGGAAAGCGCAAAUUAUCCCAAAAGCGUGUCUGAAAAUGCUUUCAAUCUCCGUUUAAACGAGAGAGAGAGAGAAAGAUAGAGGAGAAAAAAAACGUAGCCGCGAUAUUCGAAUUGGUGAAAAAUUCAUGGUCGAGCACAGGUGCGAUAGGAUAGCGUUUACGGCGGGGGAAAAAAAAAGGAAAAAGCGGUUCGAAAUAGACGACCAACUACGACUUUAUUGAAGCAUCGAUAUAAUACCAUCAAGAUUGGGAUUUCAUCAAACAUAUCGACGCUUUCGAAACUUAGAAUGACCACUCGUUUCGUUCCUCUUCCACGUACAUACUUUAUUU